GGAAGCUAUGGAGACCAAUGAACCAAGGAACAUUGUUUGUUCAACUCCACUUCCUUGUUCAGUGUCACUGAUUACACUUCCAAAGGAUCCAUGGUUAAACUGAGAACAAUCAUCCUUCACUCUUUGGAUCCAAAGUUUCAUUAGGCAGAGGGA